GGCUGAAUGAAGAGGCUCAACCUGAGAAGGGUUAGGGUGUCUGCUGAUGGCAUGCUCAGCACCUUGCUGGGCUCCAAACACAAGGAGUCCAUUGACUUCAAGGCCAACCGCAAGACCAUCAAAAAGGAGGAGAAGAAGGCUGAUCCCGAGUUGAUCCUGAGCUGAUCCCGAGCCAACACUACACUGUGUGAACCCGCACCUGGACUCCUGGAGAUAACAACAUGAAACCAACUGGGACUUUAUAACUAUAUAAACUCUAAUGAAUGUCAGUAUAAAUACAGUUUCAUGCUCCCUGGUCGCCCAGAGGAGGAUGGGGUCCCCUUCCAAGUCUAGGUUCCUCUCAAGGUUUCUCCCUGCUAGAGGGAGUUUUUCCUUGCCACUGUCGCCUCAGGCUUGCUUGAUGGGGGUUUGGGCCAGUUAUAUGUAAAGUGUUUUGUGAUAAUGACUGUUGUUAAAAGCGCUAUAUAAAUAAAAUUGAAUUGAAUUUGAUGCUGCCCAAUAAAGAGCAGUAGGUAGAUGUCCUUCAGCAUCUUAUCAAAGCCCUUUCACCAUUUUA